rnacentral:lncRNA from 1 species
AAAUCUUGAAAGAGAAGGCAAGUGCAUAAGAUGAGAUCAUACAAAAAGAAAAAUAGUAUGUAUUUUCUUUAAAAGAAAAAAAAAGCGAAAAAAAAAAAGAAAAAAAGAAAAGAAAAACAAAAGAGAAAAAUGCACUUGCCGAGACUUAAGACUCUAACACAUAUAAAAUGCUCGGAAAAUUUGAGUAGAAAAAGAGUCAAAAGAGUGAAAUUAACCCCCAGAGUAUACGUGAUGCACGAGAAAAAAA